AAAUUAUUUCAUAUUUUGUGUAUACAGUAAUUUACAGCAGGUACAUUAUAAAUCUUAUAUUAGACCUUUCAUUAGCAUUGCCCAUUGAGGGCUUUGUUGAAGAAUAAUCCAGCUUAAAAUCCAGCUUCUUUACUACUUUAGACUUGUAUUAUGGAUUAAUGUUGUCAUUAAUGCCGCUGUGAGUUAUCAAUAUUUAAAUCAACUUUAAUCCUUAUCGUAUACUGUAAUCGACAUUUUAGAAGUUUAGUCUGUUUUACCAAACGAUACUGGAGGCCUAUCUAUCAAUGGAAACUUUAAAAGGUUUAUUACAGUAAAACUCAUUAAUAUAAGCGAGACUUCGUGCGCAUAUACAGUUUAUGAAUUAUGUAUGUAUAUCCAUGAUAAAACGUAUAGGGACACUUUAUACCAGAUAUAAUAAAAAAUACUUUGCUAAACCUUUUCGGCUGUCAUUCCUUUGCAUUUAAGGGGAGAGGGUAAAUGGCGAUAGAAUUUAUAGGAGAUGCUGUGCAAUAUUCUGGCUUCAACAAACAGGUACUCGUGC